rnacentral:rRNA from 1 species
GGCUGCCCGAUCUUAAGAGCAGUCUGGCCUGCCCACUGAUUUCUUUAAAGGGCCGCGGUAUCCUGACCGUGCGAAGGUAGCAUAAUAAUUAGUCUUUUAAUUGAAGACUGGAAUGAAAGGUCGGACAAAAAGCAACCUGUCUCAACUUAAUUUACCAAAAUUAACCUUUAAGUGAAAAGGCUUAAAUACUCUUGUAGGACGACAAGACCCUAUAAAACUUUAUAUAUUUAUUAUAUCCUUCGAUCUAUUUGUGAAAAGCCGGAUAUAAAAAAAUGUAUUUCGUUGGGGCGACGAAAGUAUAAUUCUCUUAACUGCUUUAUUUUUUCUCACCUCUAAGUGUUUUUAUUGAUCCUAAAUUAAGAUUUCUAGAAAAAGUUACUUUAGGGAUAACAGCGUUAUUUUUUUUAAGAGUCCUUAUCGACAAAAAAGCUUGCGACCUCGAUGUUGAAUUAAAAUAACCUAAUGGUGUAGCAGUCAUUUAGGUAGGUCUGUUCGACCUUUAAAAUUUUACAUGAUUUGAGUUCAAACCGGUGUGAG